GGUUUGUUUAGGUUGCAUGGUCCCUUUUGUGACUCCCUGGGAGGUUUGAUCUCUGGGGUAGCCGUGUGUGGGAGGUCUGGGCCUUGUUCGGCUGCCAUUUUGGCAGGUGCCUGCCGUUGGAAUAGGGUGCCUAUGUCAGGCUGUGCUGUGGCAGUACCUUGUUGGGAUCUUUGUGAUCUGCGUCCCAUCUCGCUGCUUUCGUACUCCCAG